GACGAACGCUGGCGGCGUGCUUAACACAUGCAAGUCGAACGAAGUGGCGAACGGGUGAGUCACGCGUAAUCAACCUGCCCUUCAGUGGGGGACCACAGUUGGAAACGACUGCUCAUACCGCAUACUGAAGGAGGGGAUUGCGUCUGAUUAGCUGGUUGGCGGGGUAACGGCCAACCAAGGCGAUGAGCUGUAACCGGUCUGAGAGGGUGAACGGCCAAAUUGGGAAGGAGACACGGCCCAGACUCCUAAGGGGAGCAGCAGUGGGGAAUCUUCCGCAAUGGACGAAAGGCUGACGGAGCAACGCCGCGUGAGGGAUGACGGCCGUCGGGUUGUAAAGCUCUGUUAAUCGGGACGCGGUACCGGAAUAGAAAGCCACGGCUAACUACGUGCCAGCCGCCGCGGUAAUUC
rnacentral:rRNA from 1 species